UACUUAGGGUGCGAGCGUUGUCCGGAAUUACUGGGCGUAAAGAGCUCGUAGGUGGUUUGUCGCGUUGUUCGUGAAAACCGGGGGCUUAACCCUCGGCGUGCGGGCGAUACGGGCAGACUUGAGUACUGCAGGGGAGACUGGAAUUCCUGGUGUAGCGGUGGAAUGCGCAGAUAUCAGGAGGAACACCGGUGGCGAAGGCGGGUCUCUGGGCAGUAACUGACGCUGAGGAGCGAAAGCGUGGGGAGCAAACAGG
rnacentral:rRNA from 1 species